rnacentral:lncRNA from 1 species
CGGCCCAGAUUUAAUCAAAAUGGACGGCUGUGAUCAAAAGGCAAAAGGGUAUAAAUAGAACCCCCACACCUGACCACAAAAACCCUAGCCGCCUGCCCUCGCCGGAGAAGACGAACCAGAUGCCGGAGGAGCCGGCCGCCGCCACCCGCCGCCGCACCAGGGAGUUUUUCGACCGCCGAUCGAGGUAAAUUUCAUACCCCCGACUCGUUUUUCCACGCUGAGUUCCC